rnacentral:rRNA from 1 species
UUCGUAGGCGGUGCGGCAAGUUGGGAGUGAAAUCUCUGGGCUUAACUCAGAGGCUGCUUUCAAAACUGCCGUGCUCGAGUGCGAGAGAGGUCAGUGGAAUUGCAGGUGUAGCGGUGAAAUGCGUAGAUAUCUGCAGGAACACCCGUGGCGAGGGCGGCUGACUGGAUCGCAACUGACGCUGAGGAACGAAAGCUAGGGGAGCAAACAGGAUUAGAUACCCUGGUAGUCCUAGCCCUAAACCAUCAGAACUUGGGGUGGCCCGCGUAGGCGGGUCGUCCCGUAGCUAACGCGUUAAGUUCUGCGCCUGGGGAGUACGGUCGCAAGACUGAA